CUCUGAACAUGCUCACCCGGUGCCAGGGCCUGGGAUUUGCAGAAGAUGGGAUCCUGUGCGUUGCAUUGCACCCUGGAUGGGUGCAGACAGACAUGGGCAACGCAGUGGUACCAGCCCCCCUGGAAGUGGACGCAAGUGUGCGAGCCAUCCUGAACACCCUCGGCCGUCUCACUGAGAAAGACAACGGCACUUUUGUGAACUGGGAGGGGGAAGCUAUGCCUUGGUGACACCCCCACCCCCCAACUUGCAGGAGAAACAUCUCACAUGCGAGGAAGAUGCAGAAAGCAGAUGUAUGAAAUCCUUUGCCUUCGUCUGCAAUAAAUUUACCAUCACUUGCUGGAAUGUCAAAUCUGUCUUUUCCUUUCACACUGAGGCUGAGGGAAACCCAGUUACGACCAGCUGGACCAUGCAAUUUCCCCAUGACAUAUUGAUG